rnacentral:rRNA from 1 species
GUUGUAUGGUUAAGUGACUAAGCGUACACGGUGGAUGCCUUGGCAGUCAGAGGCGAUGAAGGACGUGCUACCCUGCGAAAAGGGUUGGUGAGCUGGGAUGGAGCGCUAUAGCCAACCAUGUCCGAAUGGGGAAACCCACCUAAGAUAACUUAGGUAUCGUUAAGUGAAU